AUGAUGCAUUUAAGGAUCAGCAGUGAUUCAGUAGGAGCCACAUAUGUAUCAUCCCAGAAGCGAUAUUGCAGUAUUGAGCUACUCUCAAGUUCAAAACUGGAGCAGAAAGGCCAGCUGAGUAGGGUGACUGUUUGGGAAUAUGAAAUUACCUGGAGAAACAGUUACUUUGACAUCCGGAGUGGAUGCAAGGAAGAACUGGUGAAAUUCUCUUCAGUAAGAAAGCUACCAGCAGCCAGCAUAGAACUGGGUUCCUCCUCCAGACCACAGCAAACUCCUGGAUUUCACAAACAAACACCAAAAAUCUCAGAGCCACUUUAGUUCCUUUCUAAACUUGGAACUACCCCUGUAUUCCUAGCACAAAGGUUUUUUUGUGUGUGUGUGAUAAAGGGAAAAAGUUAAUUACACAAUUCCUCCUGUUCUCUUCUGGAUUAUGCUAGUGCAGUCUAGACUUGCAAUUUAGAAAGCUGUUUAUAAGCAGCUGCUUGGCAAAGAGCAGACAUCUUUCUUGUAGUCCAGUACAUUUAAAUAUUUAAAGGCCAGCUGCACAGAGCAAUGUCCCAGAACAUUUUCACUGGGACAUGGUGACUCAUACACAGUCAGAGGAACAUGAAUUGGACUUUCUGCCACAAGAUGGGGCUCUGCCUGCCCUGCUUCACCAUACAACCUGUUUUAUGCUUUGCUUCCUCUCCUGCGUGAAAAAUCAUUGUUUCCUCGGUUAUAAUAUGUCUUUUUUUUCUUCUUCUUCUUCUUGUUUUGCUGUUCAGCAGCACAUUUAUUUUCCAUGGCAAGAAAACAACUUUUCUGUCUUGUCCCUAAACAGACACAGAAAACUGACAAAGCCUCCAGGAUCCCCUUGUAUGAGAUAGAUGAGCUGUACUUACAGAAUUAAAGCAAAACCUUUAUUGCAGAGGAAAAUGAUGCUAUAACCAUGCCAUCUGUUUCAUAGCCUCCUGGAACAGAAAGCAUUCACGCAGGUUUCCUGCUUCUUACUAUUUCAGCAUUUUGCUCCUAAGAAGCAGAGGACCAAUGACCAGGUUCUGAUGUUUAGUGCUCACCAGCAAAUCAGUAACAGGCUGAAUUUGGCAGAUCUGUGCCAGAUCUUCAUCUGGAAAUCAAAUGUAACCUUGUAUUACAGCAAAACAAUUAUUAGUGCUGUGGUUGUGCCUGGGGGCUUUAACUGGAUCUUCACAAUGACUGGUAGUUAACACAUACAUAAUAAAACUAAUUUGUGCCCUAAGGACUUCUAAUGG
rnacentral:lncRNA from 1 species